UACGAAGGGGGCUAGCGUUGUUCGGAAUCACUGGGCGUAAAGCGCACGUAUGCGGAUCUUUAAGUCAGGGGUGAAAUCCCGAGGCUCAACCUCGGAACCGCCUUUGAUACUGGGGAUCUCGAGUCCGGGAGAGGUGAGUGGAACUGCGAGUGUAGAGGUGAAAUUCGUAGAUAUUCGCAAGAACACCAGUGGCGAAGGCGGCUCACUGGCCCGGAACUGACGCUGAGACGCGAAAGCGUGGGGAGCAAACAGG
rnacentral:rRNA from 1 species